rnacentral:misc_RNA from 1 species
UAAAUAACAAUCGGUGUGUUGUUGCUUUCUUGUGACAUCUCCGGAGUUGGGUCAUCUUUCUGCUUUCUUAAGGGACCUAAAAUUGAUGUUCUCGCGCAUCUUGAUGUGUAUAAUUUCUUAUUUUGUCACUGGAUGCCGGGGUAUUUAUUAGGUGUGACUAUGUUAAGUGGUCUCAUGCCUAUAGGAUUCUUGAUU